UACGGAGGGGGCUAGCGUUGUUCGGAAUUACUGGGCGUAAAGGGCGCGUAGGCGGGUUGAAUCGUCGGAUGUGAAAGGCCUGGGCUCAACCUGGGAACGGCAUCCGAUACGGUCAGACUUGAGUGUGAGAGAGGUUGGUGGAAUUCCCAGUGUAGAGGUGAAAUUCGUAGAUAUUGGGAAGAACACCGGUGGCGAAGGCGGCCAACUGGACCACAACUGACGCUGAGGCGCGAAAGCGUGGGGAGCAAACAGG
rnacentral:rRNA from 1 species